CUUUCCUACGGGGUGCAGCAGUGAGGAAUAUUGGUCAAUGGGCGGGAGCCUGAACCAGCCAAGUCGCGUGAGGGAAGACGGUCCUAUGGAUUGUAAACCUCUUUAGGCGGGGAGCAAUGCCGGGCACGUGUGCCCGGAGGGAGAGUACCCGCAGAAUAAGCAUCGGCUCACUCCGUGCCAGCAGCCGCGGUAAUACGGAGGAUGCGAGCGUUAUCCGGAUUUAUUGGGUGUAAAGGGUGCGUAGGCGGAUUUUUAAGUCAGCGGUAAAAUGUCCGGGCUCAACCCGGGCCGUCCGGUUGAA
rnacentral:rRNA from 1 species